rnacentral:rRNA from 1 species
UACGUAGGGGGCGAGCGUUACCCGGAUUCACUGGGCGUAAAGGGGGCGUAGGCGGCCGUGCAAGUCUGAUGUGAAAGCUCACGGCUCAACCGUGAGACUGCGCUGGAAACUACACGGCUUGAGGACGGUAGAGGGAGACGGAACUGCUGGUGUAGGGGUGAAAUCCGUAGAUAUCAGCAGGAACGCCGGUGGAGAAGUCGGUCUCCUGGGCCGUUCCUGACGCUGAGGCCCGAAAGCUAGGGGAGCAAACCGG